UGAGUAACCUGAUGUGGCUGUUAGCUGGCUUAGGCAUGUGCUCGUCCAUCAUCUUUAUUUCUCCACCUGUGCACAUUUUGUAGACUUGGAUAAUGGCUCUGUCAUUUACAAGACUAUGUUUUCAAUAUACCCAAAGCAUGUUUAAAGAAUGUCAUCAAUAGGAACUUGGUUUCCUAUUAGAAACUAUACAACUUUCAGCAACGGAUCUCUUGGCUCUCGCAUCGAUGAAGAACGCAGCGAAAUGCGUUAAGUAAUGUGAAUUGCAGAAUUCAGUGAAUCAUCGAAUCUUUGAACGCACCUUGCGCUCCUUGGUAUUCCGAGGAGCAUGCCUGUUUGAGUGUCAUUAAAUUCUCAACCUUUCCAUUAAUUUGAUUUGGCUUG
rnacentral:misc_RNA from 1 species